rnacentral:tRNA from 1 species
GGACAGGUGGCCGAGCGGUUGAAGGCAACGGUCUCGAAAACCGUCAUACGGGUAACCCUCGUAUCAAGAGUUCGAAUCUCUUCCUGUCUG